ACGCCAUUUGCAAAGGACCAGAGGUUAGGUGAACAACUUGCUGAAGCAGAAUACUGCCAGUGCUUCAGAGAAACAAAGAACACUGUCAGACUAUGGACAAAUGCUUUAAGAAAGGAGAGGGAGCUGCCACUCAGGAAUACACAUUGGCAAUAGAAAUGUGACAUGUGCAUGCUCCUGUAACAAUCCAAGGACUUGCAAGAAAAUGGAAGCAGUCUGCUCAGUGUUACCUCUGCCUAAGGUUCUUGACUCCUGAUUUUGCCCCCAACUGAAACUUACUUUUGAUAUACUGAGCCAGUAACUAUGACACUGGUUUUGUAUCUUGCCUGAUAAUCAGCCUUGACACU